rnacentral:rRNA from 1 species
CUGCAACUCGCCUGCAUGAAGUCGGAAUUGCUAGUAAUCGCAGAUCAGCAUGCUGCGGUGAAUACGUUCCCGGGCCUUGUACACACCGCCCGUCACACCAUGGGAGUCGGUAACACCCGAAGUCGGUAGUCUAACCGAAAGGAGGACGCCGCCGAAGGUGGGAUUGAUGACUGGGGUGAAGUCGUAACAAGGUAGC